rnacentral:rRNA from 1 species
UAGGGAAUCUUCCGCAAUGGGCGAAAGCCUGACGGAGCAACGCCGCGUGAGUGAUGAAGGUCUUCGGAUCGUAAAACUCUGUUAUUAGGGAAGAACAAAUGUGUAAGUAACUAUGCACGUCUUGACGGUACCUAAUCAGAAAGCCACGGCUAACUACGUGCCAGCAGCCGCGGUAAUACGUAGGUGGCAAGCGUUAUCCGGAAUUAUUGGGCGUAAAGCGCGCGUAGGCGGUUUUUUAAGUCUGAUGUGAAAGCCCACGGCUCAACCGUGGAGGGUCAUUGGAAACUGGAAAACUUGAGUGCAGAAGAGGAAAGUGGAAAUCCCUGUGUAGCGGUGAAAUGCGCAGAGAUAUGGAGGAACACCAGUGGCGAAGGCGUCUUUCUGGACUGUAACUGACGCUGAUGUGCGAAAGCGUGGGGAUCAAACAGG